GACGGGCCCCGCACAAGCAGCGGAGCGUGUGGUUUAAUUCGAUGUUACACGAAGAACCUUACCAGGGUUUGACAUGCAAGUGGUAGGAAGCCGAAAGGUGACCGACCCUUCGGGGAGCUUGCACAGGUGCUGCAUGGCUGUCGUCAGCUCGUGUCGUGAGAUGUUCGGUUAAGUCCGCUAACGAGCGCAACCCUCGCUGUGUGUUAUAUGUGUCACACGGGACUGCCGGUCUUAAGCCGGAGGAAGGUGGGGAUGAUGUCAAGUCAGCAUGGCCUUUAUAUCCUGGGCUACACACACGCUACAAUGGCCAACACAAUAGGUUGCUAAGCCGCGAGGUGGCGCCAAUCCAUAAAGUUGGUCUCAGUUCAGAUUGUAGGCUGCAACUCGCCUGCAUGAAGUUGGAGUUGCUAGUAAACGCAGGUCAGCCAUACUGCGUUGAAUACGUUCCCGGGGCUU
rnacentral:rRNA from 1 species